rnacentral:rRNA from 1 species
AGUCGAACGGUAACAGGAAGCAGCUUGCUGCUUCGCUGACGAGUGGCGGACGGGUGAGUAAUGUCUGGGAAACUGCCUGAUGGAGGGGGAUAACUACUGGAAACGGUGGCUAAUACCGCAUAACGUCGCAAGACCAAAGAGGGGGACCUUCGGGCCUCUUGCCAUCAGAUGUGCCCAGAUGGGAUUAGCUAGUUGGUGAGGUAACGGCUCACCAAGGCGACGAUCCCUAGCUGGUCUGAGAGGAUGACCAGCCACACUGGAACUGAGACACGGUCCAGACUCCUACGGGAGGCAGCAGUGGGGAAUAUUGCACAAUGGGCGCAAGCCUGAUGCAGCCAUGCCGCGUGUAUGAAGAAGGCCUUCGGGUUGUAAAGUACUUUCAGC